rfam:Cavia porcellus supercont2_53 genomic scaffold, whole genome shotgun sequence.
GGGGAUUUAGCUCAGCGGCAUAAGCGCCUGCCUUGCAAGCAGGUAGUCGUGAGUUCAAUCCCCA